rnacentral:rRNA from 1 species
UACAGAGACUGCAAGCGUUACUCGGAUUCACUGGGCGUAAAGGGAGCGCAGGCGGCCCGGUGUGUCAGAUGUGAAACCCCAGGGCUCAACCCUGGGACUGCGUCUGAAACUGCCGGUCUAGGGACUCGGAGGGGCUAGUGGAAUUCCUGGUGGAGCAGUGAAAUGCGUAGAUAUCAGGAGGAACACCAACGGCGAAGGCAGCUAGCUGGACGAGAUCCGACGCUCAGGCUCGAAAGUAUGGGGAGCAAAAAGG